CAAGUUGAUUCAAGGAAAGUUUUUCUUUUACAUUGAAAAAUAUUAUCGUGCAAUUCGAUUAAGCUUGA
rnacentral:tRNA from 1 species